rnacentral:rRNA from 1 species
AGUGAACGCUGGCGGUAGGCCUAACACAUGCAAGUCGAACGGCAGCACAGUAAGAGCUUGCUCUUACGGGUGGCGAGUGGCGGACGGGUGAGGAAUACAUCGGAAUCUACUUUUGCGUGGGGGAUAACGUAGGGAAACUUACGCUAAUACCGCAUACGACCUACGGGUGAAAGCAGGGGAUCUUCGGACCUUGCGCGAUUGAAUGAGCCGAUGUCGGAUUAGCUAGUUGGCGGGGUAAAGGCCCACCAAGGCGACGAUCCGUAGCUGGUCUGAGAGGAUGAUCAGCCACACUGGAACUGAGACACGGUCCAGACUCCUACGGGAGGCAGCAGUGGGGAAUAUUGGACAAUGGGAGCAAGCCUGAUCCAGCCAUACCGCGUGGGUGAAGAAGGCCUUCGGGUUGUAAAGCCGUUUUGUUGGGAAAGAAAAGCAGCAGGUUAAUACCCCGCUGUUCUGACGGUACCCAAAGAAUAAGCACCGGCUAACUUCGUG